GGUUAAGCGACUAAGCGUACACGGUGGAUGCCCUGGCAGUCAGAGGCGAUGAAGGACGUGCUAAUCUGCGAUAAGCGCCGGUAAGGUGAUAUGAACCGUUAUAACCGGCGAUUUCCGAAUGGGGAAACCCAGUGUGACUUGUCACACUAUCAUUAACUGAAUCCAUAGGUUAAUGAGGCGAACCGGGGGAACUGAAACAUCUAAGUACCCCGAGGAAAAGAAAUCAACCGAGAUUCCCCCAGUAGCGGCGAGCGAACGGGGAGGAGCCCAGAGUCUGAAUCAGCAUGUGUGUUAGUGGAAGCGUCUGGAAAGGCGCGCGAUACAGGGUGACAGCCCCGUACACAAAAGCGCAUGUGCUGUGAGCUCGAUGAGUAGGGCGGGACACGUGGUAUCCUGUCUGAAUAUGGGGGGACCAUCCUCCAAGGCUAAAUACUCCUGACUGACCGAUAGUGAACCAGUACCGUGAGGGAAAGGCGAAAAGAACCCCGGCGAGGGGAGUGAAAAAGAACCUGAAACCGUGUACGUACAAGCAGUGGGAGCCCCACCACUAAGCCAGUGGUGAACUCCACAUACGCAUCCUUUGCUGAGGAUACGGUUAACGGAGCGAAAGCGACGUUCAACCUCAAAAGAAGCAGAGGGGGCUUAGUGGUGGGGUGACUGCGUACCUUUUGUAUAAUGGGUCAGCGACUUAUAUUCUGUAGCAAGGUUAACCGUAUAGGGGAGCCG
rnacentral:rRNA from 1 species